rnacentral:rRNA from 1 species
GGGUUGUGAGGUUAAGCGACUAAGCGUACACGGUGGAUGCCCUGGCAGUCAGAGGCGAUGAAGGGCGUGCUAAUCUGCGAUAAGCGCCGGUAAGGUGAUAUGAACCGUUAUAACCGGCGAUACCCGAAUGGGGAAACCCAGUGUGACUCGUCACACUAUCAUUAACUGAAUCCAUAGGUUAAUGAGGCGAACCGGGGGAACUGAAACAUCUAAGUACCCCGAGGAAAAGAAAUCAACCGAGAUUCCCCCAGUAGCGGCGAGCGAACGGGGAGGAGCCCAGAGCCUGAAUCAGCAUGUGUGUUAGUGGAAGCGUCUGGAAAGGCGCGCGAUACAGGGUGACAGCCCCGUACACAAAAGCGCAUGUGCUGUGAGCUCGAUGAGUAGGGCGGGACACGUGGUAUCCUGUCUGAAUAUGGGGGGACCAUCCUCCAAGGCUAAAUACUCCUGACUGACCGAUAGUGAACCAGUACCGUGAGGGAAAGGCGAAAAGAACCCCGGCGAGGGGAGUGAAAAAGAACCUGAAACCGUGUACGUACAAGCAGUGGGAGCACCCUUUGGGGUGUGACUGCGUACCUUUUGUAUAAUGGGUCAGCGACUUAUAUUCUGUAGCAAGGUUAACCGAAUAGGGGAGCCGGAGGGAAACCGAGUCUUAAUUGGGCGUUAAGUUGCAGGGUAUAGACCCGAAACCCGGUGAUCUAGCCAUGGGCAGGUUGAAGGUUGGGUAACACUAACUGGAGGACCGAACCGACUAAUGUUGAAAAAUUAGCGGAUGACCUGUGGCUGGGGGUGAAAGGCCAAUCAAACCGGGAGAUAGCUGGUUCUCCCCGAAAGCUAUUUAGGUAGCGCCUCGUGAAUUCAUCUCCGGGGGUAGAGCACUGUUUCGGCUAGGGGGCCAUCCCGGCUUACCAACCCGAUGCAAACUGCGAAUACCGGAGAAUGUUAUCACGGGAGACACACGGCGGGUGCUAACGUCCGUCGUGAAGAGGGAAACAACCCAGACCGCCAGCUAAGGUCCCAAAGUCAUGGUUAAGUGGGAAACGAUGUGGGAAGGCCCAGACAGCCAGGAUGUUGGCUUAGAAGCAGCCAUCAUUUAAAGAAAGCGUAAUAGCUCACUGGUCGAGUCGGCCUGCGCGGAAGAUGUAACGGGGCUAAACCAUGCACCGAAGCUGCGGCAGCGACGCUGAUGCGUUGUUGGGUAGGGGAGCGUUCUGUAAGCCUGCGAAGGUGGCCUGUGAGGGUUGCUGGAGGUAUCAGAAGUGCGAAUGCUGACAUAAGUAACGAUAAAGCGGGUGAAAAGCCCGCUCGCCGGAAGACCAAGGGUUCCUGUCCAACGUUAAUCGGGGCAGGGUGAGUCGACCCCUAAGGCGAGGCCGAAAGGCGUAGUCGAUGGGAAACGGGUUAAUAUUCCCGUACUUGGUGUUACUGCGAAGGGGGGACGGAGAAGGCUAUGUUGGCCGGGCGACGGUUGUCCCGGUUUAAGCGUGUAGGUGUGUGUUCCAGGUAAAUCCGGUUCACUUUAACACUGAGGCGUGAUGACGAGGCACUACGGUGCUGAAGCAACAAAUGCCCUGCUUCCAGGAAAAGCCUCUAAGCAUCAGGUAACAUCAAAUCGUACCCCAAACCGACACAGGUGGUCAGGUAGAGAAUACCAAGGCGCUUGAGAGAACUCGGGUGAAGGAACUAGGCAAAAUGGUGCCGUAACUUCGGGAGAAGGCACGCUGACACGUAGGUGAAGUGAUUUACUCAUGGAGCUGAAGUCAGUCGAAGAUACCAGCUGGCUGCAACUGUUUAUUAAAAACACAGCACUGUGCAAACACGAAAGUGGACGUAUACGGUGUGACGCCUGCCCGGUGCCGGAAGGUUAAUUGAUGGGGUCAGCGCAAGCGAAGCUCCUGAUCGAAGCCCCGGUAAACGGCGGCCGUAACUAUAACGGUCCUAAGGUAGCGAAAUUCCUUGUCGGGUAAGUUCCGACCUGCACGAAUGGCGUAAUGAUGGCCAGGCUGUCUCCACCCGAGACUCAGUGAAAUUGAACUCGCUGUGAAGAUGCAGUGUACCCGCGGCAAGACGGAAAGACCCCGUGAACCUUUACUAUAGCUUGACACUGAACAUUGAGCCUUGAUGUGUAGGAUAGGUGGGAGGCUUUGAAGUGUGGACGCCAGUCUGCAUGGAGCCGACCUUGAAAUACCACCCUUUAAUGUUUGAUGUUCUAACGUGGACCCGUGAUCCGGGUUGCGGACAGUGUCUGGUGGGUAGUUUGACUGGGGCGGUCUCCUCCUAAAGAGUAACGGAGGAGCACGAAGGUUGGCUAAUCCUGGUCGGACAUCAGGAGGUUAGUGCAAUGGCAUAAGCCAGCUUGACUGCGAGCGUGACGGCGCGAGCAGGUGCGAAAGCAGGUCAUAGUGAUCCGGUGGUUCUGAAUGGAAGGGCCAUCGCUCAACGGAUAAAAGGUACUCCGGGGAUAACAGGCUGAUACCGCCCAAGAGUUCAUAUCGACGGCGGUGUUUGGCACCUCGAUGUCGGCUCAUCACAUCCUGGGGCUGAAGUAGGUCCCAAGGGUAUGGCUGUUCGCCAUUUAAAGUGGUACGCGAGCUGGGUUUAGAACGUCGUGAGACAGUUCGGUCCCUAUCUGCCGUGGGCGCUGGAGAACUGAGGGGGGCUGCUCCUAGUACGAGAGGACCGGAGUGGACGCAUCACUGGUGUUCGGGUUGUCAUGCCAAUGGCACUGCCCGGUAGCUAAAUGCGGAAGAGAUAAGUGCUGAAAGCAUCUAAGCACGAAACUUGCCCCGAGAUGAGUUCUCCCUGAGACUU